CGGUUAUCCGGGAUUAUUGGGCGUAAGCGCUCGCAGGCGGUCUUUUAAGUCUGAUGUGAAAGCCCACGGCUCAACCGUGGAGGGUCAUUGGAAACUGGGAGACUUGAGUGCAGAAGAGGAGAGUGGAAUUCCACGUGUAGCGGUGAAAUGCGUAGAGAUGUGGAGGAACACCAGUGGCGAAGGCGACUCUCUGGUCUGUAACUGACGCUGAGGAGCGAAAGCGUGGGGAGCGAACAGGAUUAGAUACCCUGGUAGUCCACGCCGUAAACGAUGAGUGCUAAGUGUUAGAGGGUUUCCGCCCUUUAGUGCUGCAGCAAACGCAUUAAGCACUCCGCCUGGGGAAUACGGUCGCAAGACUGAAACUCAAAGGAAUUGACGGGGGCCCGCACAAGCGGUGGAGCAUGUGGUUUAAUUCGAAGCAACGCGAAGAACCUUACCAGGUCUUGACAUCCUUAUGCCUUCCCUAGAGAUAGGGCUUUCCCUUCGGGGACAUAAGUGACAGGUGGUGCAUGGUUGUCGUCAGCUCGUGUCGUGAGAUGUUGGGUUAAGUCCCGCAACGAGCGCAACCCUUGACCUUAGUUGCCAGCAUUCAGUUGGGCACUCUAAGGUGACUGCCGGUGACAAACCGGAGGAAGGUGGGGAUGACGUCAAAUCAUCAUGCCCCUUAUGACCUGGGGCUACACACGUGCUACAAUGGGAUGGUACA
rnacentral:rRNA from 1 species